UACGUAGGGUGCGAGCGUUGUCCGGAAUUAUUGGGCGUAAAGGGCUCGUAGGCGGUUUGUCGCGUCGGGAGUGAAAUCAUCUGGCUUAACUGGGUGCUUGCUUUCGAUACGGGCAGACUAGAGGUAUGCAGGGGAGAACGGAAUUCCAGGUGUAGCGGUGAAAUGCGUAGAUAUCUGGAGGAAUACCGGUGGCGAAGGCGGCAUCCUGGACCAUUACUGACGCUGAGGCGCGAAAGCUAGGGGAGCAAACGGG
rnacentral:rRNA from 1 species